AAAACAAAAGAAUCGAGCUUUUUGUUAUUUUUGCUCAAGCACUCAACGGCUUCCUCAGUGUGCACACUGCGGAAAAGUUAAGUGUAUGAGCAAGACUGGAGACUGUGUCGUCAAACAUUCAGGUGUAUUCACAACUGGUCUAGCAAUGGUGGGAGCUAUUUGUGACUUUUGUGAGGCCUGGGUCUGCCAUGGUAGAAAGUGCCUAACAACUCAUGCUUGCACCUGCCCUUUAGCCGAUGCGAACUGUCUGGAGUGCGAGAGAGGUGUCUGGGAUCAUGGUGGCAGAAUCUUCAAGUGUUCAUUUUGCUCAGGUUUUUAUGUGAGGAUGACCAGUUUGAACACCAAGCUUCUUGUCAAGUAUUAGAGUCGGAAAACUACAAGUGCCAAUCUUGCAACAAAUUAGGUCAGUACACAUGCCUGAAGUGCAAAAUUUGUUAUUGCGAAGACCAUGUCCGCAGGAAAGGAUUCAAGUACGAGAAAAUAAAGCAAUACCUUGCCCCAAGUGCGGUUAUGAAACAUCUGAAACUAAGACCUCAGCAUGUCAACUCGAAGUCACAAGUAUGGUCGACAGAGCCAAGGUGGAUAUGGUGAUGAUGAUGAUGAUGACGACUAUGAUAAUUACAGCAGCUAUGGUGCAGGCGCCAGUUAUGGUGGAUAUGAAGGUGGUGAUAGUCAAAAUGAUUCGGAAUCCGAUGAAGAUGAUGAUGAUGAUUAUGAUGAUGAUGAAUCAGAAGAGUCAGAGGAAGAUUCCAGUACUGGAGACUCAGAACCAGAGAAGAAAAAUUGAAACGCAGGAAAAUUAA
rnacentral:lncRNA from 1 species